rnacentral:rRNA from 1 species
UACGGGGGGGGCAAGCGUUGUUCGGAAUUACUGGGCGUAAAGGGCUCGUAGGCGGCCAACUAAGUCGGAUAUGAAAUCCCCAGGCUUAACCUGGGAACUGCAUCCGAUACUGGAUGGCUUGAAUCCGGGAGAGGGAUGCAGAAUUCCAGGUGUAGCGGUGAAAUGCGUAGAUAUCUGGAGGAACACCGGUGGCGAAGGCGGCAUCCUGGACCGGUAUUGACGCUGAGGCGCGAAAGCCAGGGGAGCAAACGGG